GUUUAGUUCUCUCCAACGUUUGGUGGCAUAUGUAUGCCAUCGAUCCCAAAUAUUUGCAUAUUGCAUCCUACGCUAGGCCCGCAAAAAGGACAAAGGCCAGGGA
rnacentral:misc_RNA from 1 species